rnacentral:lncRNA from 1 species
AAUAAAGGAAACUCGAACCCGAGACCUCUGGUUAAGAAUGAAAGACAAUAAAGACAGAAUUGUAAAACAUAAUAAAAAAUUCCUUCUUAUUUUUCUAAAAUAUCAAACUAUUUAUAUAUCAGAAGGGGAAAUAGCUGGCUGUCUCAAAACUGCAUAUUCAUUUCUCUAUUGCAAAACAAAUGCCUUUUUUCUAAGGGCACAUACUUUUCUCUACCUAUUACAAACAACAAAACAGUUAAAAUGGGCUCUACUUAUCAGUUCAGUUUAUCCUCUCCAUGCAGUUCCUGGCUUACAAGCAGGCAAGAGUGCCAGAUUCAUGUAGGAGAUAGUGGAAGGACGACAACUUUUAUUUCUUAUGUUUUUUCUAUCCUGCAUAAAUGAAAACGAUAAUCAGUUAAUUUAUGACGGGAAAAUACCGAUAACUACAGAAGGAAGGAAUAACGUUAGCAAAACUUCUUCAAAGUGAACUCAAAUGCAAACAAAAGUGUAAUCCCACAAGUAGGGUCUGGAGAGGGUAGGAUGUACGCAGACCUUACCCUUACCUUUGUCGGGGUAGAGAGAUUGUUUCCAAUAGAUCCUCGCCUCAUAUGCAAGCACAUCCAUAGAAUGCAUAUGAGUAAUUAACACUAGUUUCCCCGUGAAAUUAUGGUCCGUAGGGAAAUGGUUUAUUCACGAAGGUGGGGCUAGAAUACAACUCCAAGCUGAGGUCUUUUUUUCCUUUAUAAUAUGACAGGGGAAAGAACAAAGGUUUAUUGACAACGAUUACCCUAUAAAAAUACAAUACAGAAAAGUAUAUCUAAAAAGGAAGUACCAGAACUUUGCCUGCUCUUGCUUUCUUGAAGCCAGAGGGAAUUCUAAGAAGAUGUUACUGACUAAUUUCACAGACUUCCUCUGUCCUUUAAAGAAAUCUACCGUUUGCUCUUUUCUUGGAGUGGGUGAAGAUGGGGGAGGGAUGAUCCCUUUUGGGAAGUUCGAUUUACAGUUGACUGAAACUAUCAACCACAAACUCCUAUAGGUAAAGAUCUUGCAUUAGGCAUAUAAGCCCCAAACGGAUUGUCCUUCCAUUCCUUUUGUUCACUAAAUACUGUUCACUCUGGAAAGAAAGGUUCCUCAUUCUAAACAAUACUUUCCAAUCACAUAAGAAGAUAAAUGUACUACACAAACCACUUCUAUAUAGUUCCAAGUUCAAUUUAUCAAAUCAUAACUUCAUGCAUAUUUAUCGAUCCACUCAAUAUAGACAACUGUGUACAAUUCUAUCUCAGUUUCAUGCCUAGUGAAGUUAUAAAAUCUGCGUGGAGUUUAUCUACCUGAUGCAAGAGCUCAUAUGGUCAUUGUUUAUGUCACUAACAUCUAUAGGAUAUGUCACGGUUCAUAAUUGAAGACAGAGAAGGCACUACCAACUUGUCUUAAGACUGACCAGAGACACAGGCCUUUUUAGUUUAAUACUCUAGUUUGCCUCAAGUAUUACAUCAUAUAGAACGCUGCUUAGCGCUAACGACAGUGGGAAUGCCAGGGACUUAAGGUGACAGAUAUAAGAUAUCCACGCAUAAACCUCGUAUUAGACUGUAGACUACAAAACAAGAAGGAGCACCGUGCUUCCAAAGUGGAUUCUAGCAUCUUAUAUAGAAAGCUUAUGUCUAGAAUACAAUCAUUUAACAUUUGCCUAACCCAAAAUCUCAAUCAGUUCACAGAAGAAUCUUGACAUCUCCACAGAGAGGUCAAAAGCAAAAUCCAUCCAGAGUAUUUGAACAAGCUCGUAAAGAAAUUGUACGGUUCAAAGAUGUACCCAAGGUGUAUACAACAAUACCAGCGUUCUCUUCUCCAUUUACUACUAAACAACCUUCAGUCACUUUGUUAAAACAUGACAAGUUCCCUAUCAAUAUCACAUCCUAAUCUAUCUCUCCCUACAUACUAGCAAUCACAUAGGGGCAACCUAUAACCGAAUAAAUAUCGGGUACAAAGGCAGCAUGAGUUCAACUCUAAGAUGAAUAUGGCCAAAGAAAUGAUAUGUGCAAAGAAGAGAACUCAUAGAAUUUCACACCCUUCAUUUACAACAAAUGAUAAACUCAACACCUUAAAGGGUACUUUGCAUCACCCUGAUCCAAAUUUCGGUCCACAAGCACUAUACAUGAAGCUUAUCCAUUAAAAAAAUAGGAUUCUAGAUCAAAUUUACCUUCGUUUUAUAAUCUAUCAAAUGAUUUAGAGUACUCAAUGAAUAUUUCCUAGCAUUUAUUCAUUAGUUCGCCACCAAAAUUAGAGUAUGAUAGAAUCAUGAAAUCAAGGCCUUUCAUAUCUUCAAACAAAGUGUUGCUGCUCAUCUUCAUAAUGAGAAAGUAUAAUUGUACAAACAACAACAAUAAAAACAUCUUAGACCAAAACUAUUUGGAGUAAGCUAUUCCUCAUUAAUCAUUCCAUUAAAGUCUAAAUCCUAAAUGAAUUCUCAAUAACCAUUCAUAUAAAUAAUCCCACAAAAACACAAUUGUGAUUCUUCCCAUAUGUCUUAGUCUUGUCCGUCUUGGUGGAUAGAGUUAUCUGGUUCCUAUGCAAUUAGUGCAUGGGCGCGAAAGUUGGCUUGAACACUACGAUACUAAAUCCCACAAAUUAAUAGAAACCUAUUCUGAAUUAUACUGACCAUUCUCAAUUGGACUAAAUUUUGAAGCUAACUUGAAGUAAAGGAAAGAACUUUUUACCAAGAAAAGUAAAAUUUGGAAGACCCAAAUAAGAAAAAUUCAGAAAUCUUCAUACCUAAAUCCAUAAAGGGGUUUCAAGAAAGUUGCUUUGCAUUCUGAUAGAAAGCAGCAGAGCAUAAAAUUGAAGCAAUAAAAGCGAAAAUUCCCAACCCAAUCAUUAGGGAAAAUCCAGCUACAACCAAGUCCAUCAAACAUUGCAAGCUUAUUCCCAUCACCAACAUCUUUUUUCUCUCAAAAUAUCCUUAAUUCUUUCAGCAAAACAAUGGGUAAUUUUGCUAUUUAUAGAGUGAAAAUAUAGAUGGGUAAGAAUGGGUCUUUUGGCACCCCGAGAAGGAAGAGGCAGACCCCUGUAACUGUAUCAACUCAAUGCAAAGACAACAAAGCAUGUGACGCAUAAUUGCAGAAAACGCAUCGGGAAGAUUGACAAGGGAUUAGCAAUUCACCCCUCCCUCCUCCGUGUUCAUUUUUUUAUUAGAAUAAAUAUAAAAUUAGAAAAAUUAUUUAAAUUAAAAUUAUUUUUAAUUAAAAAAUAUAAUAUUUUCUAUCAGAUAUACUUAAAAAAAGAAAGUAUA